AUCAGACAGGGUUCUACCGUCGAGUUCGCCCUGUUGGCUAGAGCGCCUCGUUAGACCAUAGAUUGAGGCAAGAGUCACUGCCGAGAUGGAGUUUUGGUGGGGAGUUACCUUUGAAUCAGUUGUCCCAAGUAGGCAUCCGAAUUGGCUGUCUCAGCGCUAGAGAUUGAGAAGAUGAAAAACUACAGGAAAAAUGAUUAUGUUGUUGUGAUACCCAAAAAGGAAUGAGAAUGGUAAUUAUUUGCUGAAAGCCUACGAAAAAUAUCCACUUGUUUCUAAUUCAUGGUUUAUGCAUACAUCAUGGCAAACUAAUGAAUAUAAAAGAAGAAUAUGUAUGAUAAGAUGAUAAGGAGAAACAAAAUCAAAUGCAUUGCUAUUUCUAAUUGCAUGCUGGUAAGGCCAUGAAUCAUUGUUUUAAGUUACACCUGGCAUGCUAGCAAAAGAAAACAGAAAAAAGAAGAUAAAGAAUAGUCCUAUCUGAUUAAAGAUAAAACUCUCAUG